ACAUAAAAUCUAAGAGGCCAUCCAAUAUUUGCUCCAUUUCACCCAAAAAAAAAAGGGGUAAUAUUUUCAAACGUGUACUUUAGUGGGUCCUACCGUCUGUUUCCGUGAAGGUGAUUAUAAAAAUGGAGGGGGUGCCGUAGUUGCCUUUCAUCAGUGAUCUCAUCGUCUCUCAUCGGCUAUUACUCUGUUUUCUCUGAUCCCAAAAAUCUGCAAUUCGGAUUGAAUAAGAGUGGUAUUGGGUAUUUCAAUUAUACGAUAAUUGGAUCGACCCUCGAAAAUUUUUAAUUCAGAUCGUCUGGAACUGAAAUUGCUUUUUGAAUACGGUUAUAUAUUAUAUUAAUACCCAUCUUUUUUCCCACCACUAAAACCCCACCCCACUUGGCUUUUUGGGAGUUUUCGUUCCUCCCCCCCAACAAAAAAAAAAAGCGCAUAGCUCUCUUCAGAAAACAUGGUGCUGUGUUAUCCCUCUACACCACAGAAGUUGGCCAUGACAGUAGGAUGCUUCAUCUCUGGUGCUGCCCUCUUUGCCAUUGGUGUUCAUCUCUCCUAUCUCAACGUUGCCCCUCAACAAGCACGAACCAAAGCUCGAAAUGAUUUUGUUAAAGAGCGGAUUAGAAAGAAAUAUGGCAAACUUUAGAACUUGCUCCUCUAUGGACAUAAUGUUCACAUUACAUUCUCACUUUGCUUUUGAAUGAAUUCUUUUCACACGAACAAUCUCUCACAAUUGAUAUUUGAAAGAAUUCUUUAUACAACCUCCCUCUCCUCUAGAUGAGCUAAUGUUUCUUCCAAGUGUCAUCUUCUCCGAGAAGGAUUUGUGUAUCGUGAAGUUGCAUCCUAGGCUUUUAGAGUUGAAGAACCAUUGCAACUUCAGUCUUUUAAUUUACUUCCCUUAUAAUUUGGACGGGAUUUUCCACUCAUAUUAAAUAGCAAUAAUCAUUUUUGUUUGUUC